rnacentral:rRNA from 1 species
GUCUACGGUCAUGCUACCCUGAACAAGCUGGAUCCUGUUUGAUCUCAGAAGCUAAGCAGGGUUGGGCCUGGUUAGUACUUGGAUGGGAGACCACCUGGUGAGAUCGGGUGCUGUAGGCA